GCUGGGCAUGGUGGUGCGUGCCUGUAAUCCCAGCUACUCAGGAGGCUGAGGCGGGAGAAUUGCUUGAACCCAGGAGGCGGAGGUUGCUGAGAGCCGAGAUCACGCCACUGACCUCCAGCCUGGGUAAGAAGAGCAAAACUCCGUCUCAA
rnacentral:sRNA from 13 species